CCUAACUCCUCCCCUGACUGCUCUAGCCAAUCAGGAGUCGGCUGACUCCUCCCUCUUGCCUCUUAGCUCUCCUGCCUAUCUCUGAACAUGUCAGCUACUGACUUUCCAGGCUUCAGCCUUCCUGGCAAAAGUGUCAGCGUUGCAGGGGGACAAUGCCUUAUGGAGUCAGACUUUGCCUGAACCUGAGCACGCAGAAUCAUACUUAAAUCAGAGCCUUUUGUUUCACUUUUUUUCUACAAUUCCUGUGUUGCCAGGAUCCACUUUGACCAGGGACCACUUGGCCAGGGACCACUUGACCAGGGACUUGUCCAGGAAGGAACCACUGUGACCAGGGACCACUCUCCAACAUUAGUAUCAAAAAAAUUACGAAUCAUAUUUUGGUCAACUUUAGAUUAGGUUUGGUUAUUUAGGGUGCUGAUUCAGAAUAUUGCAUUGG